AGCCGUGGAGUGUGAUUUGUAUCAGCGUCUCCACGGUAGGUGGUAGUUAUUUGACUAUCCCGUUGAGGACCGGUUUGUGUCUGCUUCUUUACCUCUCCAUCCAAUGCCUUACCAGUACUUUUCUCACUCAGGUGGAGAACCAGUACCAACCCAUUCUUGACACGACCUGGACUCAAGACAGCGGACAACAUGUGAGCGCACAGCAGUGUGAAGAGCCACAACCUUGCCGAGACCUCUGAUGCUUCAGUUGCGUUUAUUAAUAAGUAUAUUUUUUUUCUUGACCUUUCCAGACUUUUUUGGACAGGUGGACAGCCGGCGCGUGGUAGAAUAGCUCUCUAGCCGUGGAGUGUGAUUUGUAUCAGCGUCUCCACGGUAGGUGGUAGUUAUUUGACUAUCCCGUUGAGGACCGGUUUGUGUCUGCUUCUUUACCUCUCCAUCCAAUGCCUUACCAGUACUUUUCUCACUCAGGUGGAGAACCAGUACCAACCCAUUCUUGACACGACCUGGACUCAAGACAGCGGACAACAUGUGAGCGCACAGCAGUGUGAAGAGCCACAACCUUGCCGAGACCUCUGAUGCUUCAGUUGCGUUUAUUAAUAAGUAUAUUUUUUUUCUUGACCUUUCCAGACUUUUUUGGACAGGUGGACAGCCGGCGCAUGGUAGGAAAGCUCUCUAGCCGUGGAGUGUGAUUUGUAUCAGCGUCUCCACGGUAGGUGGUAGUUAUUUGACUAUCCCGUUGAGGUCCGGUUUGUGUCUGCUUCUUUACCUCUCCAUCCAAUGCCUUACCAGUACUUUUCUCACUCAGGUGGAGAACCAGUACCAACCCAUUCUUGACACGACCUGGACUCAAGACAGCGGACAACAUGUGAGCGCACAGCAGUGUGAAGAGCCACAACCUUGCCGAGACCUCUGAUGCUUUUUUUACAACUUACAUUUGCUGUAACCAUGUCAGGAACUAAAAAUUUUUUGUAUGAUAUGUAUAAAUCAUGGAUCUCAAACUCAUGGCCCUCCAGAUGUUACAAAACUACAACUCUCAUCAUUCCCUGAUAGCUGUAGUAUGCCCAGGCAAGAUGGGAGUUGUAGUUUUGCAACAGCUGGAGGGCCACGAGUUUGACAUCCCUGGUGUGGCGGGGGCACAG